rnacentral:rRNA from 1 species
UACGGGGAGGCAGCAGUGGGGAAUAUUGGACAAUGGACCGAGAGUCUGAUCCAGCAAUUCUGUGUGCACGAUGAAGUUUUUCGGAAUGUAAAGUGCUUUCAGUUGGGAAGAAAAAAAUGACGGUACCAACAGAAGAAGUGACGGCUAAAUACGUGCCAGCAGCCGCGGUAAUACGUAUGUCACGAGCGUUAUCCGGAUUUAUUGGGCGUAAAGCGCGUCUAGGUGGUUAUGUAAGUCUGAUGUGAAAAUGCAGGGCUCAACUCUGUAUUGCGUUGGAAACUGUAUAACUAGAGUACUGGAGAGGUAAGCGGAACUACAAGUGUAGAGGUGAAAUUCGUAGAUAUUUGUAGGAAUGCCGAUGGGGAAGCCAGCUUACUGGACAGAUACUGACGCUAAAGCGCGAAAGCGUGGGUAGCAAACAGGAUUAGAUACCCUGGUAGUCCACGCUGUAAACGAUGAUUACUAGGUGUUGGGGGUCGAACCUCAGCGCCCAAGCAAACGCGAUAAGUAAUCCGCCUGGG